ACCUGCAAAAGUCUGCUGCAGAUUCUCCAGUCCUAUCCCAGACCUCCUGGAUCCAAAUCUCAGAGGGCAAGGGAUUCUGCACGUUGAAGAUGUUCCCUAGAUCCUUUCAUUCAGGAGGCAUCUCCCUGGAGACGGAGGAAAUGGUAGGAGUCCCCUGAGGUGCUGUCAGCUCCACUUGCAGAACUUCUGGAGAAAGAGUGAAAUACCAGAUGUGACAGAUGAAGCUCCCACAGCCAAUUGGACAGUGAGAUGAUAUGGGGGAAAUGGAAGCCACACAAAGCAAAGGAACAACAUGGAAGGAGCCUGGUUCCUAACACUGUAGAGUUAGAUCUCAACCCUAGAGUGACCAACUGUCUCUGGCCUCCUUAGUGGUGUUCCUUUGGAAAACAAACAUCUGAAAGGUCACAGAAUUUCAACAGGCAGCACAGAUUUGAUCUUUUCUCCAGGCUCCCACCACAUCCAAAACACGUCAUUUUGAGCUGAUAUGGUGCAAGAGAAUCAUAGAAGAAAUACACCUCCUUAAAUUAACUAACAGCUGCAUGACUCUUUUUAGGAAGGGAAAGUGGGUAGAAUUUGGGGGUAAGUACUAUACAAGAAAUUAUAAUACAUGUACAAAUAUUUAAUAUGCCCCCAAUAUGUAUAAAUACAUACCAGAUCUUGCAACAGGUAUAGAAAGCCUUUUUAUUAAGGUCAUUUAUUUCAGACUAGUUUAUAAGAUUGAAACACUUAAGAUUUUCAGACCAUAUUUAGGUCUAAGGGCUUCCAGAAUUAGAGUUAGCACUUCUCUUUUAUUCUCCCAUUUUUGUUUUUUAUGGAGAUAUAAUUAAUAUAUAACAUUGUAUAGGG